GCUCGAGUGGCGAACGGGUGAGUAACACGUGAGUAACCUGCCCCUCGACUUUGGGAUAACUUCAGGAAACUGGGGCUAAUACCGGAUAGGAGCUCCUGCUGCAUGGUGGGGGUUGGAAAGUUUCGGCGGUUGGGGAUGGACUCGCGGCUUAUCAGCUUGUUGGUGGGGUAGUGGCUUACCAAGGCUUUGACGGGUAGCCGGCCUGAGAGGGUGACCGGCCACAUUGGGACUGAGAUACGGCCCAG
rnacentral:rRNA from 1 species